GGGGAUGUAGCUCAGUUGGUAGAGUGCUUGCUUUGCAUGCACAAGGCCCUGGGUUCAAUCCCCAGCACCACAA
rnacentral:tRNA from 1 species